ACGGGUGAGUAACGCGUGGGAACAUACCCUUCGGUUCGGAAUAACUCAGGGAAACUUGAGCUAAUACCGGAUACGUCCAAGGUUUAAUCGCUUUGGAGAAAGAUUUAUCGCCGAGGGAUUGGCCCGCGUCUGAUUAGCUUGUUGGUGAGGUAAUGGCUCACCAAGGCGACGAUCAGUAGCUGGUCUGAGAGGAUGGCCAGCCUCACUGGGACUGAGACACGGCCCAG
rnacentral:rRNA from 1 species